rnacentral:rRNA from 1 species
AGAGUGAACGCUGGCGGCAGGCCUAACACAUGCAAGUCGAGCGGCAGCGGGUCCUUCGGGAUGCCGGCGAGCGGCGGACGGGUGAGUAAGGCAUCGGAAUCUACCCUGAUGUGGGGGAUAACCUGGGGAAACUCAGGCUAAUACCGCAUACGACCUACGGGUGAAAGCGGGGGACCUUUCGGGGCCUCGCGCAGCAGGAUGAGCCGAUGUCCGAUUAGCUAGUUGGUGGGUAAAGCCCACCAAGGCGACGAUCGGUAGCCGGUCUGAGAGGAUGAUCGGCCACACUGGGACUGAGACACGGCCCAGACUCCUACGGGAGGCAGCAGUGGGAAUAUUGGACAAUGGGGGCAACCCUGAUCCAGCCAUGCGCGUGGUGAAGAAGGCCUUCGGUGUAAGCCCUUUGUACGGAAGAAAUCUACCUGGUAAUACUUAGAAGCUGACGUACGUAAGAAUAAGCAACCGCUAACUUCGUGCCAGCAGCCGC